rnacentral:lncRNA from 1 species
UUUAAUUUGGAACCAUCAUACCCCGCCUUUCUGCCACCGCGAACUAGCUCGUUGUCGUCGCGAACCAGAUUCAGCCACCUCACGUGUUCUUGUAUCACCGCUCUUGUCUCAGCUCUAAUUUGUUUGGGUUCAACAACUAAGGUACGAACCCAUCUCCUGACCGAUACGUGGGCGUUCGUGAUGUAGUUGUCGAACUGUUACGGCGGAAAUAUAAUAUAUAAUUAAAUGGUUCUUGAUUUUCGAGAUCGACUUGACUAAUUGGUCUUGCUUUGCUUG